UACGUAGGGUGCAAGCGUUGUCCGGAAUUAUUGGGCGUAAAGAGCUCGUAGGCGGUCUGUCGCGUCGGCUGUGAAAUCCCGGAGCUCAACUCCGGGCCUGCAGUCGAUACGGGCAGACUGGAGUUCGGUAGGGGAGACUGGAAUUCCUGGUGUAGCGGUGAAAUGCGCAGAUAUCAGGAGGAACACCGGUGGCGAAGGCGGGUCUCUGGGCCGAUACUGACGCUGAGGAGCGAAAGCGUGGGGAGCGAACAGG
rnacentral:rRNA from 1 species